rnacentral:lncRNA from 1 species
UUCUUUCUGCGUUUUCUGUAUCCACGAUCAAUCGAUUAGCUCCGCUAGGGUUUCACUCCGCUCCGCUCUACCGCCUCUCCAUAGGGUUCAAUUCCGUUGCUCCACCGCCCCUACGUUAGGGUUCAAUUCUUCGUGCUCCACACUGUUUUGAUCCGUCAAACAUAAAUUCUGACAUCCACACCGUCACCGUGACCGAUCGAUUUUGAAAACAUCACCGUGAUCUCAUUUCAUCGCGGCUGGAUUACGGAAUUGAUCUCAUUGUAGUUCAGUGAAUUGAUUUGAUUAGUUGUAUUUGUUUGAUUGUUUACUUCAGAUUUUGAUUUCUAUAUUGAAGAAGAAUGGCAAUCAAUGAAUGUAUCUUUCUGUGAUUAAUCAGCCUUCUUCACAUGCAAGUCCGGAGUUGCUACAAGUUAGAUCAGUUACCGUUAGAUGCUCCACUGGUUCUGUCUCAAUCGGUCAGAUUUUAAAAUUUCAGCGUUUAUAGUGGACGAGCUGAUGGCAUGCUGCUGCUGCUUUUGGUGAUUAUAUAUUUGUGGCGGUCUACGUGGAGGCUACGGACCUUAUGGUUGCUGCACCAGUUGUAUAAAUCGUACGAGCUCAUCAUCUUAGUUAAAAUGCUAAAGCCUCAAUGACGAGUGUAUCACCACCGGACCUCUUAGCAUCAAAAAACAAGCACGCCGUAGUUUGAUGACAGAUUUUAACAAAGACUUCCAUGGCCCUCAGGAGUACCAUACCAGCGACAAAAAGAGGUUUGCAUCUUCCUAUGCAGUUAAUGCGGAAAAAUAUCGGUUAUCGGUCAAGGACCGAUAUAUGAGAUAUGGUUUAUCGCGGUGAGAUAUCGUUGAGAGAAUUGUGGAGAGACUUUUGCUCUGGUACCUUAAGAACAUAAGAAUUUAGUUCAUACUGAGAUCGUUUAUUUUCUACAAUUCAAGACUGUAUUGGUGCAUCAAUCGCAUGACCCUAUCCAUUCAUCUCGGUAGUCGAUGAGGAUUGAGGACGCAUGAUGACUCAAGAAUUUAUGCUUCUUAUUUCUUUAAUUGCUCUUAAUUUUUUUGUUAAAUGUUAAGACUUUAUGUUAGACAAUGUUAUAAAUAAUUUAUGGUUAGUGUUUUUGUUAUGAACAUG